rnacentral:rRNA from 1 species
GAUGAACGCUAGCUACAGGCUUAACACAUGCAAGUCGAGGGGAAACGACAUCGAAAGCUUGCUUUUGAUGGGCGUCGACCGGCGCACGGGUGAGUAACGCGUAUACAAACUGCCCACCACUUGGGGAUAACCUUGCGAAAGUAAGACUAAUACCCAAUGAUAUCUCUAGAAGACAUCUGAAAGGGAUUAAAGAUUUAUCGGUGAUGGAUGGGGAUGCGUCUGAUUAGCUUGGUGGCGGGGUAACGGCCCACCAAGGAGACGAUCAGCAGGGGUUCUGAGAGGAAGGUCCCCCACAUUGGAACUGAGACACGGUCCAAACUCCUACGGGAGGCAGCAGUGAGGAAUAUUGGUCAAUGGACGAGAGUCUGAACCAGCCAAGUAGCGUGCAGGAUGACGGCCCUAUGGGUUGUAAACUGCUUUUAUAAGGGAAUAAAGUGAGUCUCGUGAGACUUUUUGCAUGUACCUUAUGAAUAAGGACCGGCUAAUUCCGUGCCAGCCGCCUCCGUAA